AGGGGACCUUCGGGCCUUUCGCUAACAGAUGAGCCUGCGUUGGAUUAGCUAGUUGGUGGGGUAAGGGCCCACCAAGGCGACGAUCCAUAGCUGGUCUGAGAGGACGAUCAGCCACACUGGGACUGAGACACGGCCCAGACUCCUACGGGAGGCAGCAGUGGGGAAUAUUGGACAAUGGGCGCAAGCCUGAUCCAGCAAUACCGCGUGUGUGAAGAAGGCCCUAGGGUUGUAAAGCACUUUCAAUUGGGAGGAAAGCCCACCGGCCAAUACCCGGUGGCUUGACAUUACCUUUAGAAGAAGCACCGGCUAACUCCGUGCCAGCAGCCGCGGUAAUACGGAGGGUGCGAGCGUUAAUCGGAAUUACUGGGCGUAAAGCGUGCGUAGGCGGCCCGUUAAGUCAGAUGUGAAAGCCCCGGGCUCAACCUGGGAACUGCAUUUGAAACUGGCGGGCUAGAGUUUGGUAGAGGAGAGCGGAAUUUCAGGUGUAGCGGUGAAAUGCGUAGAUAUCUGAAGGAACACCAGUGGCGAA
rnacentral:rRNA from 1 species